rnacentral:rRNA from 1 species
AACGAACGCUGGCGGCAGGCCUAACACAUGCAAGUCGAACGCGCGUAGCAAUACGCGAGUGGCGCACGGGUGAGUAACACGUGGGAACCACCCCUGAGGUUCGGAAUAACCGCGGGACACUGCGGCUAAUACCGGAUAUCCCCUACGGGGGAAAGAUUUAGCGCCUUGGGACGGGCCCGCGUCCGAUUAGGUAGUUGGCGAGGUAAUGGAUCACCAAGGCUCCGAUCGGUAGCUGGUCUGAGAGGACGACCAGCCACACUGGAACUGAGACACGGUCCAGACUCCUACGGGAGGCAGCAGUGGGGAAUAUUGGGCAAUGGGGGAAACUCUGACCCAGCCAUGCCGCGUGGGUGACGAAGGUCUUCGGAUUGUAAAGCCCUUUCGGCGGGGAAGAUGAUGACGGUACCCGCAGAAGAAGCCCCGGCUAACUUCGUGCCAGCAGCCGCCGUAACAC